rnacentral:lncRNA from 1 species
AUGGUUUUCCAUCGUGUCAUGUCUAGUAGGACCCUCAGUGUUUUACUUGACUAUGAAGUAAAAACGGUCGUGUUCGUUCGUCCAACAGUUCAAUGCCAAGUUCAUCCUGACCUGGGAAGAACUCUGCAUCGAGUGCCACUGGUUGGUGUAUUAAUGACACCACAAGCAAAUACUUCCAUCAGCUAUUGUUUGGAUAUGUGUAGGUACCACUGUGACUUGGUGAAUCUUCUAUGGCAUUUUCUCAGAGCCAACUCAAGCUGUGGAUCUGCCAUAUCAUCAGCUAUAUUUGAAAAAGCAGAAUCACGUUUCUGUCGUCUUUCUUUUAAAGAAGAUGAUCUAGAAAAUUUCAUCCACCAGACAACAUCACGAUAUGGACCGUGAUCUUCUCUUCUCAAAAGAAAUCUACAGAAGAUCCAGAAAGAUGAACAGGAGAGGGGAAGAAAAUGUUCAUUCCAAUACGUUGAUCGUAAAUAAGAAUGUUGGAGGGAAGACCAUUUUGCAAUGAUUUUCAGGAGAAUAUUCACGGCAGCUCUUGGUCUCAGCAUAUGGAAGGGUGUGCGUGUAUCUAAGGUCUCUUGUUUGCUCCAGCUGCAGAAACGCUAAGCUGUUCUGUCCAUUUGUGGGGUCUCCUCUCACGUACACGUCACCACCACUGACAGAUAAGACACAGGCACACGGAAAUACACAGAGGACAGGAAUGGUCUCCAGCGUCAUCCUUGCGACAAUUUGUGAUCUGGGAAAACAACCGGUUCUCUGCCUUCUUCAAGCACUUCAUGAAUGAGGGGACUUUAAAAUAGAGGAAGGAGGGGCGCCAGGGUGGCUCUGUCGGUUAAGCGUCUGACUUCGGCUCAGGUCAUGAUCUCGCAGUUCACGGGUUCGAGCCCCACAUUAAGCAUCUGACUUCGUCUCAGGGCAUGAUCUCACAGUUUGUGGAUUUGAGUCCUGUGUCGGGCUCUGUGCUGACAGCUCCGAGCCUGGAACCUGCUUCAGAUUCUGUGUCUCCCUCUCCCUCUGCCCCUCCUACACUCACACUCUGUCUCUCUCUCAAAAAUAAACAUUUUUAAUUUUUUUUUUUUUUAAAAACA